rnacentral:rRNA from 1 species
UACGAAGGGUGCAAGCGUUACUCGGAAUUACUGGGCGUAAAGCGUGCGUAGGCGGUUUGUUAAGUCUGUCGUGAAAGCCCUGGGCUCAACCUGGGAAUGGCGAUGGAUGCUGGCAAGCUAGAGUACGGUAGAGGAUGGUGGAAUUCCCGGUGUAGCGGUGAAAUGCGUAGAGAUCGGGAGGAACACCCGUGGCGAAGGCGGCCAUCUGGACCAGUACUGACGCUGAGGCACGAAAGCGUGGGGAGCAAACAGG